UAAGUUUAUUUCUCAUUUUAGUGGAAGUGUGUUGUGGUGAGUAUUAAUUAAUUUUGUACCAUAUAACACAUAUAAAUAUGAAUCACACAUCUACAUAACUUAUAGAGAAAGGCUUGUUACAUUAACAUUCUUUUGGAUUUGCAUGAUAUAGGGAGUAGUGAUCACUGACAAUUCCUUUUAUUUUAAUAUCAAAUCAAAAGAAAAGCAAUCCUGCAUUCAUACAAUGAUUUUGUUGUGAAAAUAUUCUCACACACACAAAAAAUAUUUUGUUUAAUUUCUUUUGGAUUUGCAGGGGAAGGAGAUUUGACCGAAUCAAGUGAUGAUGCUGAUACACCUGAAAAACCUGGAAGACGAUGGAGUAAUCCGGGGGAUGUUCCCAACAUGUGAAGACAGACCUCAAGAGAGAAAACGCAAGAAUGGGAGACAGAUGAUUACAGUAAAGGACAUUAGAGAGCAUUUACACACCAGAGAAAUGAUCUUUCUGUUCUAUAUGUUACUGAUGUGUGACACUGUAACUAUUACAACACUCUCUUACGGGUCCUAGCUAGUAUCAGCUGACUAACGAGUCUAGCUUACUCUCUAGAUUAGAGUUAUUAUUGUCAGUAAUACAGAUGAAAUACAGAUUGGUGUAACUCUGGGGAUCAGGAGGCUGUUAGUCUUUGCUGUAGCAGCUACAGUUAAAGAGGAACGUCACAUUAGUUACUGUUCCCAAUAAUACACAUGCUGUUAUUUUGUAAUGUUUAAACAAUGUUGAAAUAUUUUCCGUUCAGUCCAUUGUGACAUGUCUCCUUAUACUACCUCACUAUCCAUAACUCCUCUAUAUUUUUCCCCCCUUGCCUCCUGAUUGGUCAGCUCAGCACUUUCCUGAAAACUAAAACUCCUGCACUCCAGCUGCCCCGCCUCCACCUCCUGUUAGAUUACACUCAUAACGUCUGCUGGAGAUUUAAUAAAAUAACAAAGUGUAAAAGCAGCUUAAAUAUGAAUAUGUACUGUAGGCUGUGCUCUUCACAGAGCAUUUGAACCUCUUUAGCCAGUUUAAUAAUCUGUUAAUAAGCUGACUGUGAGCUGAAUCAGAAUGAGAACGUUCAUGAAACUAUUUCAGAAUAGAGUAAACUGUCUG